CGAUUUCCGAAUGGGGAAACCCAGUGUGUUUCGACACACUAUCAUUAACUGAAUCCAUAGGUUAAUGAGGCGAACCGGGGGAACUGAAACAUCUAAGUACCCCGAGGAAAAGAAAUCAACCGAGAUUCCCCCAGUAGCGGCGAGCGAACGGGGAGGAGCCCAGAGCCUGAAUCAGUGUGUGUGUUAGUGGAAGCGUCUGGAAAGGCGCGCGAUACAGGGUGACAGCCCCGUACACAAAAAUGCACAUAUUGUGAGCUCGAUGAGUAGGGCGGGACACGUGGUAUCCUGUCUGAAUAUGGGGGGACCAUCCUCCAAGGCUAAAUACUCCUGACUGACCGAUAGUGAACCAGUACCGUGAGGGAAAGGCGAAAAGAACCCCGGCGAGGGGAGUGAAAAAGAACCUGAAACCGUGUACGUACAAGCAGUGGGAGCCUCUUAAUGGGGUGACUGCGUACCUUUUGUAUAAUGGGUCAGCGACUUAUAUUCUGUAGCAAGGUUAACCGAAUAGGGGAGCCGAAGGGAAACCGAGUCUUAACUGGGCGUUAAGUUGCAGGGUAUAGACCCGAAACCCGGUGAUCUAGCCAUGGGCAGGUUGAAGGUUGGGUAACACUAACUGGAGGACCGAACCGACUAAUGUUGAAAAAUUAGCGGAUGACUUGUGGCUGGGGGUGAAAGGCCAAUCAAACCGGGAGAUAGCUGGUUCUCCCCGAAAGCUAUUUAGGUAGCGCCUCGUGAAUUCAUCUCCGGGGGUAGAGCACUGUUUCGGCAAGGGGGUCAUCCCGACUUACCAACCCGAUGCAAACUGCGAAUACCGGAGAAUGUUAUCACGGGAGACACACGGCGGGUGCUAACGUCCGUCGUGAAGAGGGAAACAACCCAGACCGCCAGCUAAGGUCCCAAAGUCAUGGUUAAGUGGGAAACGAUGUGGGAAGGCCCAGACAGCCAGGAUGUUGGCUUAGAAGCAGCCAUCAUUUAAAGAAAGCGUAAUAGCUCACUGGUCGAGUCGGCCUGCGCGGAAGAUGUAACGGGGCUAAACCAUGCACCGAAGCUGCGGCAGCGACACUAUGUGUUGUUGGGUAGGGGAGCGUUCUGUAAGCCUGUGAAGGUGUACUGUGAGGUAUGCUGGAGGUAUCAGAAGUGCGAAUGCUGACAUAAGUAACGAUAAAGCGGGUGAAAAGCCCGCUCGCCGGAAGACCAAGGGUUCCUGUCCAACGUUAAUCGGGGCAGGGUGAGUCGACCCCUAAGGCGAGGCCGAAAGGCGUAGUCGAUGGGAAACAGGUUAAUAUUCCUGUACUUGGUGUUACUGCGAAGGGGGGACGGAGAAGGCUAUGUUGGCCGGGCGACGGUUGUCCCGGUUUAAGCGUGUAGGCUGGUUUUCCAGGCAAAUCCGGAAAAUCAAGGCUGAGGCGUGAUGACGAGGCACUACGGUGCUGAAGCGACAAAUGCCCUGCUUCCAGGAAAAGCCUCUAAGCAUCAGGUAACAUCAAAUCGUACCCCAAACCGACACAGGUGGUCAGGUAGAGAAUACCAAGGCGCUUGAGAGAACUCGGGUGAAGGAACUAGGCAAAAUGGUGCCGUAACUUCGGGAGAAGGCACGCUGAUAUGUAGGUGAAGCGACUUGCUCGUGGAGCUGAAAUCAGUCGAAGAUACCAGCUGGCUGCAACUGUUUAUUAAAAACACAGCACUGUGCAAACACGAAAGUGGACGUAUACGGUGUGACGCCUGCCCGGUGCCGGAAGGUUAAUUGAUGGGGUUAGCGGUAACGCGAAGCUCUUGAUCGAAGCCCCGGUAAACGGCGGCCGUAACUAUAACGGUCCUAAGGUAGCGAAAUUCCUUGUCGGGUAAGUUCCGACCUGCACGAAUGGCGUAAUGAUGGCCAGGCUGUCUCCACCCGAGACUCAGUGAAAUUGAACUCGCUGUGAAGAUGCAGUGUACCCGCGGCAAGACGGAAAGACCCCGUGAACCUUUACUAUAGCUUGACACUGAACAUUGAGCCUUGAUGUGUAGGAUAGGUGGGAGGCUUUGAAGUGUGGACGCCAGUCUGCAUGGAGCCGACCUUGAAAUACCACCCUUUAAUGUUUGAUGUUCUAACGUGGGCCCCUUACCGGGGUUGCGGACAGUGUCUGGUGGGUAGUUUGACUGGGGCGGUCUCCUCCUAAAGAGUAACGGAGGAGCACGAAGGUUGGCUAAUCCUGGUCGGACAUCAGGAGGUUAGUGCAAUGGCAUAAGCCAGCUUGACUGCGAGCGUGACGGCGCGAGCAGGUGCGAAAGCAGGUCAUAGUGAUCCGGUGGUUCUGAAUGGAAGGGCCAUCGCUCAACGGAUAAAAGGUACUCCGGGGAUAACAGGCUGAUACCGCCCAAGAGUUCAUAUCGACGGCGGUGUUUGGCACCUCGAUGUCGGCUCAUCACAUCCUGGGGCUGAAGUAGGUCCCAAGGGUAUGGCUGUUCGCCAUUUAAAGUGGUACGCGAGCUGGGUUUAGAACGUCGUGAGACAGUUCGGUCCCUAUCUGCCGUGGGCGCUGGAGAACUGAGGGGGGCUGCUCCUAGUACGAGAGGACCGGAGUGGACGCAUCACUGGUGUUCGGGUUGUCAUGCCAAUGGCACUGCCCGGUAGCUAAAUGCGGAAGAGAUAAGUGCUGAAAGCAUCUAAGCACGAAACUUGCCCCGAGAUGAGUUCUCCCUGACUCCUUGAGAGUCCUGAAGGAACGUUGAAGACGACGACGUUGAUAGGCCGGGUGUGUAAGCGCAGCGAUGCGUUGAGCUAACCGGUACUAAUGAACCGUGAGGCUUAACCUU
rnacentral:rRNA from 1 species